rnacentral:rRNA from 1 species
AUACGGAGGGUGCAAACGUUAAUCGGAAUUACUGGGCGUAAAGCGCGCGUAGGCGGCGCUGUAAGUCGGAUGUGAAAGCCCUGGGCUCAACCUGGGAAUUGCAUUCGAAACUGCAGGGCUAGAGUAUGGUAGAGGGAAGUGGAAUUUCCGGUGUAGCGGUGAAAUGCGUAGAUAUCGGAAGGAACACCAGUGGCGAAGGCGACUUCCUGGGCCAAUACUGACGCUGAGGUGCGAAAGCGUGGGGAGCAAACAGGAUUAGAAACCCCGGUAGUCC